rnacentral:rRNA from 1 species
AGUUCGAUUAUGGCUCAGAUUGAACGCUGGCGGGAUGCUUUACAUGCAAGUCGAACGGCAGCACGGACUUCGGUCUGGUGGCGAGGAAGUGAGAACGGGUGAGUAAUGUAUCGGAACGCCUAGUAGCGGGGGAUAAUCUACGCGAAAGCGUAGCUAAUACCGCAUAACACUCGGGGAAAGCGGGGGCCUUCGGGCUUCGGUAUUAGAGCGGCCGAUAUCGGAUUAGCUAGUUGGUGGGGUAACGGCUCACCAAGGCGACGAUCCGUAGCUGGUUUGAGAGGACUGUGACCAGCCACACUGGGACCGAGACACGGCCCACCCAGACUCACGGAGGCAGCAGUGGGGAAUUUGGACAAUGGGGAAAUCUCGAUCCAGCCAUCUCCGGUGGUGCGAUGUAAGGUUCUUUCGGGUUGUAAAGCACUUCAAGUAGGAAGGAAACGGCACGGAUAAUACCCCGCAAUUAGACGGUACCUGCAGAAUGGGGCACCGGCUAACUCAUGCGCCAGCAGCCGCGGUAUCGCUUGUGGUGCAAGCGUUGAAUGGAAAUUACCGGGCGGCGUGCGCAGGCGGUUCGGAAAGAAAGAUGUGAAUCCCAGAGCUUAACUUUUGCCAACUGCAUUUUUAACUACUUGAGCUGAGUGCGUGUCAGAGGGAGGUGGAAUUCAUGUAGGGCAGUGAAAAUGCGUAGAUAUGCGGAGAACACUGACGGGCGAAGGCAGCCUCCUGGGAAGACAAUUGACGCUCAUGCACGAAAGCGUGGGAGGUCAGGAUUAGAUACCCUGGUAGUCCACGCCCUAAACGAUGUCAAAUUAGCUGCUGGGGCCUUCGGGCCUUUGCAGUAGCGCAGCUAACGCGUGAAGCUGACUGCCUUAUACGGUCGCAAGAUUAAAACUCAAAGGAAUUGACGGGGACCCGCACAAGCGGUGGAUGAUGUGGAUUUAAUUCGAUGCAAACGGCGAAAACCUUACCUACCAGACAUGUCUGGGAAUCCCAGAAGAGAUCGGGAGUGCUCGCAAGAAUGGGAACACAGGUGCUGCAUGGCUGUUUGCCGUGCUCGUGUCGAGAGAUGUUGGGUUAAGUCCCGCAACGAGCGCAACCCUUGUCAUUAGUUGCUACGAAAGGGCACUCUAAUACGAGACUUGCUGGCGACAAACCGGAGGAAGGUAUGACGCUCAAGUCUCAUGGGUCUUUAUGGGUAGGUUUCAUAUGUCAUGGCACAAUGGUCGGGACAGAGGGUCGCCAACCUGGUGCGAGGGGGAGCCAAUCCCGGUGAAACCCGAUCGUAGUCCGGAUCAGUUCGCAACCUGACUGCGCGGAAGUCGGAAUCGCUAGUAAUCGUGGAUCGGUACGUCGCGGUGAAUACGUUCCCGGGUCUUGUACACACCGCCCGUCACACCCAUGGAGUGGGUUUUACCAGAAGUAGUUAGCUCAACCGUAAGGAGGGCGAUUACCACGGUAGGAUUCAGAUCAGUGGCGCCGUAACAAGGUAACCCUGAAGCAUACCCACCGAUGCUCCCAGAGCAACACAACCGGAACGAAGUG